ACCUUCCCUUGAAGCUGGGAUAAGCCCGGGAAACUGGGUCUAAUACUGGAUAUGACCUUUCUCCGCAUGGUGGAAGGUGGAAAGAUUUAUCGGUCUUGGAUGGACUCGCGGCCUAUCAACUUGUUGGUGAGGUAAUGGAUCACCAAGGCGACGACGGGUAGCCGGCCUGAGAGGGUGACCGGCCACACUGGGACUGAGACACGGCCCAGACUCCUACGGGAGGCAGCAGUGGGGAAUAUUGCACAAUGGGCGCAAGCCUGAUGCAGCGACGCCGCGUGAGGGAUGACGGCCUUCGGGUUGUAAACCUCUUUCAGUAGGGAAGAAGCCUUUCGGGGUGACGGUACCUGCAGAAGAAGCGCCGGCUAACUACGUGCCAGCAGCCGCGGUAAUACGUAGGGCGCGAGCGUUAUCCGGAAUUAUUGGGCGUAAAGAGCUCGUAGGCGGUUUGUCGCGUCUGCUGUGAAAGCCCGGGGCUUAACUCCGGGUCUGCAGUGGGUACGGGCAGACUAGAGUGCAGUAGGGGAGACUGGAAUUCCUGGUGUAGCGGUGAAAUGCGCAGAUAUCAGGAGGAACACCGAUGGCGAAGGCAGGUCUCUGGGCUGUUACUGACGCUGAGGAGCGAAAGCAUGGGGAGCGAACAGGAUUAGAUACCCUGGRUAGUCCAUGCCGUAAACGUUGGGCACUAGGUGUGGGGGACAUUCCACGUUUUCCGCGCCGUAGCUAACGCAUUAAGUGCCCCGCCUGGGGAGUACGGCCGCAAGGCUAAA
rnacentral:rRNA from 1 species